CUCCACUGAGGACUUUCCCCUCCAGCACCAGGGAAAAUGAGACUUUGGCUCCAUUUACUUUUUCUCGGGAAGGCUCUGGAAAGGGCCCGGUCACAGGUUGUUCUGACCCAAUCAGGUCCAGAACUGAAGAAGCCCGGAGAUUCCACUCGGCUGAAAUGCGCCGUGAGCGGGUUCACUAUCACCGACUAUUAUAUGGACUGGGUCAGACAGGAGCAGGGAAAGGGGCUGGAGUGGCUGGUCAGCUACUGGAAACCAGGGCAGAGUGAAUAUUAUUCUCCCAUCAUCCAGGGGCGCUUCACAGCCUCCAAGGACAGCUCCAACUUCUACCUGCAAAUGACCGGCCUGAGACCCGAGGACACCGCUGUGUAG